GGUAGACGUCGUAAAAUGAAGAGCUUAGUCCACUCAAAGAUAGUAAUUUACUAUAUAUUUACUAUACUUAAUUUAUACUUAUUUAAUUAAUUCAUUAUAAUACUAGUUUACUAUAUUUGGUUCCCUUAAAGUCGUACAGAAUUAAGAGUUACAUUCCCUUGACAUGGCAGACCCUUACCACCGCAAGUAGGAGAAAGGAGAAAAAAAAUCUAACAUUUUAUCACAAAUUUCAUAGUAGACAGUAUGUACUGAAUGUGUAGUUGAGAGACUGAAAAAGUGACGAAAGUGAAAACUUAAAGAGAUAUGAAGGUGUUGAUAAAUUGAUCGGAGAUAUUGUAAAAUGCUGACACUCCCAACCUACGAAGACACCGACGCGAACACACUAAGCUACAAAGGAACAGGAGCCAGAGAUUUAAUUUUAGCCGACGGGCAAGCUGUCACAACUUUCUAAUCAAUUUCUCAACGGUAAACGUCACCAAACUCACCUUGGCCGUCGACACGAAAAGUUCGACACGUCAAGACUCGCUGCGUCGUCUUCCGUCCCUAUGCAGACGAUAUCUGUGAGACCCAGACUAAUUUUUAACAUCGUAUUCUUUUUUACAUUGCUCCAGACUGAAACUGGAUGCAAAGUCUACGUGGAGACAAAUUAUGUUCAGGCCUAGCUAGUAUAUUUUCAGAAAACAACCAAAAAAAGUGUGAUCGAUAAGUUUACCGUUGUUUUUCGCUGUAAUGAAGUGAAAGACGAUACACACGACACGAUGCGGGUAGACGAUGAUAAAGCUCGUGCUAAACAGGAAGAAGGGAACGGUGACAUCCAGAAAAACAAUAUGCUCAAGCCUCGGAUUAACUACUGUGGGAUUUGUGCAUGGCAGUAAAACAAGUUACAUCUUCCUGCCACAUUCGACGACCUUUUCCCUGCAACAACAAACUGCAUCAAGUUUCGUGCGCACACAUUGAUUAGGUGAUCCUUCACUUCAUCUGGACGAAGAGCUCGAUACGAUGGCGACACGUUUUGUACAUGUUCUGAUGUUCAUCUCCAGCGUAGUGUGGGACUAUCCUGUGACAAGAGCCCAGAAGGCGGGCGAGCUGUGCGACCUUAACCUGUGGUAUAUGGACAUGGCGGCAGAAGGCGCUUUCGAAGGCGACCUCCGUCAAGAGCAGCGCGCGGUCAAGGAGCGGAUCGAGGCGCUAAUUGCUCGACACCGCACCCAGCCCAACGGCGGCCGCAUCAGCUGCUCCACCCUCGCCACCUUCGAGAACAUUCUGCUCAACAGCCGCAGUGACAAAACACCACAACGAUCUGGAAACGCCGGCAGCCCUACGCGUGGAAACUGAGAGCAACUCCCGUGACUUCAGAACCCCGCGUGAAUCUGGCAGAAGCUCACAUCAAGCGGACAUUAAAUUGUCUGAGACUAGCAGUAGUCCUCAGGAUUGCAAUCCAGAUGCUCCCGAAAGAGACUGUCUGACAAAAGGUGUGAAUGGACUCGCUGGUGUUGAGCGAGAUACAAUAAGAUUUUCAACAAGCGACAAGAAAAUGGCGCAACGACGCAUGCAGCUCGAUACGACAUACACCGAGGAAGAUGACCGAAGGUCUUCUUUAAAUAACCCGUAUAUCGCAACAUGGAGAAAAGAUCGAGCAACGACUUUAAGAGACGAUAAGGUGAGGGAAGAACGAGAUCCAGGAUCGUCAGCAGGAGAGAAGACGAUAGUGUCUGAACUUGUCGCUUCGGGUGGCGGGUCCAUGCACGAGACUCUCGCCUCUACGCCAGAUGGAGCUAAUGUAGUGGGCUUGGGUAGGGAAACGUCGAUGGAGGUUGAGUUCAAUGGGGGUGAAAGUGUCGACACAGAUGACGCCGCCAUGGACAUGUCACGGCAGUCGUCAUCAGGUAAGGUGGAAAGUCACGUGGGAAAGUCUGGGCUAAAAGGAGCAAUAGGUGCAGAGCACGCAGAUAUCGGCACUACGUCGCUCACAGCGCCGGGAAGGUCGUCUGCAGACGACACGAGCAAAGAAAAGGAGAAGGAAGAGGCGAAAAGUAGUCAGGCAGAAUUCAUUUGCGAACAUAACUGCUCGUCAGCUACAGAAGAAAACAAAGAAGAAACAGCCAAUAAGAUCGUGGCAGAAACGUUUCAAGAGGGAAUGACGCCUACGUCAAGACUUCAGUGGAUGGUAUUCCUCAGGUCUUCUCAUCUCAGGAAUCUUCAUGGACAAGACGAAAGCGACGAGAUAGUGGGUUGCGUCCCUUGUGGACCUGCCAGUACUUUCAACAAUUCAAGUGUUCGGUAUAUGAACGCUUCUUUCAUGCUUUAGAAUUUCCACCCUUUAAAACCACAUCGGUACACAGACGUGUGAACGUCUGGGCAGUGUGUACUUGUCCACGUACGGUUCAGAAUAGAGGCAAACAAAGCAGUGAAAACAGACCAUAUGUUUGUCGGUAUUAUGAGAUUAUGCAAAGUAGUCUCCUUGGACAUUUACCAUACCAGCUUUCUAACUUUACUGUUUUCAAACGUAAACCUGCAUCCACUUUAAGAACAAGACAAAGCGACCUUCCAGGGGUGUGUUCUUCCUUGAGUUUAUUUUUGCCAGUAGCACACCAGUGCCUUGUUAAUGAUCAGGGCGACGAUGUAAAUGAUGUACACAAAGAUCACAAAUUUAUGGACAAUGAAACAAAGUCUCCGAAAAUGGGGGCUAGGGAUAUGAUUUCAGGCGAGGAAGCUAUAACAAACAAUGACAUGCAAUCAUAUGAUAAGACUUUAGAAGAGUUGACGCUGGUGCCAGACGUUGAUGUGUUAUCAAGUGGUACUGUAGCAACAGAUGACACAGAUGUAGUAAGUACCGAGGAGAAUACGCUGAAGUCGGAUAGUAAGGACAUCACUUCAGGUACUAUUGACGUGCCAUAUGAUUCGGUGUCAUCACAUGACACGCAGUCGUCGACUAGUGGUAGAAUUAUUGGUGACACCGAUUCCAGUGAACUGGCCGUGAUGGACAACGAACCGUUUAUUUACCAGGUGCAAACAAACAGCGGCAAUGUCGUCUGUGUUUCAAACAGCUUAUAUGUAUUUGAGAUAUGGCGAGCAAUCAAGCAAAAUGCAGCUUCAAGGUUAGAUAACAACAACGAUGAUAAGAGGAAAACAGAAGAUGAUUCUUCUGACGGAAAUGAGGAUGGACCGAAAAGGACCUCAUUUUCUGAGUUUUCUGACAAAUCGGAUGACGAUGAUGAAUCUAUCAUCACUGAGACAAGAAAGGAAAUUAAGAUGAAAGUUGUCGAAUCACCCGCAGGGUACAGCCAGGAUACCACUUUUGAUAAGAACAAUGAUAAUAGGGUGGACGAUACCGCUUCUGCUAUGGACAACACUCUUAACAAGAAGACUACUGACAGCGAUCGAGAUUUGGUGAAAGGCAACGAUGAAGGUGAGGAGGAGCAAAACAAAUACAAUGGCAGCGUCAGGAUUAAUGACAAGAGAGAGUCAAGCAGUUCCAAGAUACAUUACCUGGAGCAACUGAUCCAUAAGCAGUUUUUAGAGCAGACGUCCAAAAUUCAGUCUUUAGAGUUGAUGAUUAUCAAGCUGGAAAAGCAGAUGCUGACCCAAACCUUGCACGAGCAAAAGGAGCUCACUCGUCUGCUGCAACUUGAGAACCAAAUUUUGCAUCUGGAGAACAAGCUGUUGCAACUCAACCAAAGCCAUGCCCUUCUUCACGAAGAGAACGAGAAGAUGAAAUCCAGACAAAGCCAGUACCUCGCUCUCGAGCACAAGGCUGGCGAGCAGAAUCGUGGGCCCGGUCAUGCUGGGUUGUCAGCUGGUGGUGAUGGAAGCACGCACUUGCAACUGGUCUCGGCGCAACAAACGAAAGUGGCAAGGCUGACCAAGCUGCUAAGGAGCCAGGCAGCCGUAGUGACCGGCUGCAGAGGCAGUAUGACCAGCUGGAGGGGCAGAGCAAAGCGCUGGAUCAACUCGUCACCACCCAGGCCAUCGUCUUGUCUCAACUUACGUUAAAGAUGCAGGAACUGGCCGAAGAGAACUUGAAGAUCCGGAAAGAAAUCCUCGAGAUGGGAUCCAAGUUGGACCCAUCAUUGUCAUCCUCUCGGAUUCUGGAGAAGAUAGAACAUCUUUUGCACAAAGGGCUCUCCAUGAGUAGCGCAGGUCGGUCUCCGAGUCAGCCUGAGAUCUUAGCAUCUCAACAGGUGAUGAAAGCGAGUCAGCCAGGAGUUCAAGGAGCAAGAAAGAAGUGGUCAGAUAUUAUGAUAUUUCUACCUUCCUCCUCCGCCGAGAGUCGACAGAGGAAAUGCGAGGGAAAUAAGUCCUCUAGGCUCUGUCUGUACUACAUCAUAAUCAUAACCCAAUGUCCUCCGUUUAGUGCGGUCACGUGGGGUAUAUGUCCUUACUUAGCGAGAGAGUUUUUCAACGAUAGACCUACAGGAACGCCUCAGGUUGGGAGAGUGACAGACGACGCAUUUCACAGAGUGGCAUCUGACACUGCUAACACCGAUACAAAGAGAGCAUCUGUCGGAGAGAGCAGAACAACCACUGGCACAGACCUUCCCAAAGUCCUUCUGCACGCGAAGUUAGACCACGAAGGAACAACUGGAGGAAAGAAAUCUUUCGGGGGCGUCACUGCAGCGGGUCGAGAGGAAAAGCUCAAGACAGAUAACAGUUUGAUUAACAAAUUGGAGUAUCACACGGCUGGAGAGGACAAAAUGGCAGGAGAGACGCUUGAAAGACUUGACUUACCACCAACUGUUUCUGUCCAAGAUGCUCACAGUCCUGGCAUGGGAGGUCAACCAGACAUUGCUCCAAAAGAAACUACAACACGACGCUUCGCUGACCAGGACAAAGCCCAUGAUGGAGAGGUAGUAGAUGUUGUGGACAUUCCGAAAAUACAACCUCAGACGGUCUUGAAAAUACUGGAAGCAGAUGCCCCAGGAAACCCAACCCGAGUUUCAGACAGCUUUGAAAAGCACGGAAAGGGUCAAAUUCUCCCACGACCUGUGAGGGUACUUGAUGGAGCGGUGCAGGAUGAGGAUAACGCUGAUGGAGCAUCUGUAGACGGUGAUCCACGCAGUCGACAAGCAUCUCAUUCGAUGCGUGACCCGGCCUCGUCAGCUCGUCUGGAAGUAGCUACGGCCGACCAGGAGAGCGUGACGAAAGAGACGGCCAAUCGCGACUCUGCAGCGCCAAGCAAGGCCAGUGAAAGCAAAGCUUCUGGGAAGCAGCCUCAUCGGGGCGGGAGCCGGCAGUGGAACAGAUGAACAAACACGUGGAAAUGAAAGCAGAAGAAAUGGAGAAAAAGCUACGGGCCGCAGAAAGACGGGUGUUGUUGUACCCGUCUGUUGAUAACAGGAAACCUCGAGACUGUUAUGACAUCUUGAUCAAGGCUGGAGGUCAAGCUCGGAACGGUGCCUACAAGGUAUUUGUGACCGGCCUUCACCUGUACGUCACUGUAUACUGCGACAUGAAGAAUGGUGGCUGGACGCUGCUCCUGAAACGAGAGG
rnacentral:misc_RNA from 1 species